rnacentral:lncRNA from 1 species
CGUCCGAGGUAGAUGGUGUCUUGGUGUAAUUAGGUAUAUUUUGCUCCUUCCUCAUCGUCAUUUUGUCUUUAGAUGGUUUGAUUUAGACAUCACACAAGUUCAUGGCUUCAUUAUGUACCAGUGAUUGAGGUUUGAUUCUUUUGCUGGAAUGUGAUUAGGUAUAAGAUCGAGGAAGUGUAGAUACUGGCUUAGGAGAAUCAUGAGAAGGGAAAGGCUGAGAUGGAGAUGAAAACGAUGGAGGUAUGAUUCUCAAUCAAAAUACAUUGUGGACCGGUUUAAACAGUUUUGGUGUUUGUUUGGAGUUUACUCGAAGAGUUUCUUUACAUUGUUUUGAAGUUUGAAUUGAAAGUGUUAUCAAUGUGUGAUUUAAAUCGUGGGUUAGUGUUAGGUAAAUGUAAUAAAUAGCUUUCGAUACAUCCUCUGUCUUUAGUCUGGUAGUUGACGAGUUUACUCUUCUUUGAAAGCGUUUCAGAGAGUCAUUUGUUUUCUGUGUUUGUGUGGC